CUAAGCGAAUCCAAGCAAACUAAGCGAAUUCAAAUAAACAUUCGGAGGUGCCACAGAAAUCGCAGGGCGAUAUGCAGCGGUAUAAACUUCACGCGUCCCAGCGCUGAAGUGAAUUCUGAGGCACCGGUAGUUUCAAAUAAAAUGAUGAAGCAUAAGUACAGUACUUAUGUGAGGAAAAAGCGAAAA